rnacentral:piRNA from 1 species
UGUUAAGGAAGAAACUGCCUCUGUGAGUGU